rnacentral:rRNA from 1 species
AAGUCGUAACAAGGUUUCCGUAGGUGAACCUGCGGAAGGAUCAUUAAAGAGUUAGGGUCUUCUAGGCCCGACCUCCCAACCCUUUGUUUACUUAACCAUCGUUGCUUCGGCGAGCCCGUCUUUACUGACCGCCGGGAGACUCUAAACCGUCUUCUGGUCCGCGCUCGUCGGUGGCCAACACUUUAAAUUCUUUAACUAAACGCGUCUAUAUCUGAGUACUAUAUUUUAAUAAAAACAAAACUUUCAACAACGGAUCUCUUGGUUCUGGCAUCGAUGAAGAACGCAGCGAAAUGCGAUAAGUAAUGCGAAUUGCAGAAUUCCAGUGAGUCAUCGAAUCUUUGAACGCACAUUGCGCCCUUUGGUAUUCCGAAGGGCAUGCCUGUUCGAGCGUCAUUAUCACCCCUCAAGCCCCUCGGCUUGGUGUUGGACGGCUUGGUGAACACUUCUCUGUUCACCCCUCCCAAAGACAAUGACGGCGGCCUCGUUGGACCCCCGGUACACUGAGUUCCUCACCGAACACGUACUGGACAAAGGGCCCACGGGACACGGUCUGCCUCCCCUUAGGGAGAACUUUUCUUAAGGUUGACCUCGGAUCAGGUAGGGAUACCCGCUGAACUUAA